rnacentral:rRNA from 1 species
GACGAACGCUGGCGGCGUGCUUAACACAUGUAAGUCGAGCGGUAAGGCCCUUCGGGGUACGACGAGCGGCGAACGGGUGAGUAACACGUGGGUGACCUGCCUCUAGCUCUGGGAUAAGCCUGGGAAACUGGGUCUAAUACCGGAUAUGACUCCACGGCGCAUGUUGUGGGGUGGAAAGCCUUGUGUGGCUAGAGAUGGGCCCGCGGCCUAUCAGCUUGUUGGUGGGGUGAUGGCCUACCAAGGCGACGACGGGUAGCCGGCCUGAGAGGGCGACCGGCCACACUAGGACUGAGACACGGCCCAGACUCCUACGGGAGGCAGCAGUGGGGAAUCUUGCGCAAUGGGCGGAAAGACCUGACGCAGCGACGCCGCGUGAGGGAUGACGGCCUCGGUUGUAAC